rnacentral:sRNA from 1 species
AUGUAACACGGGUCCACUGCGGUUCUGAGCGCGCCGUCCGCGCCCACCUGAUAGCUGCUCGCUACGUUUUGUUAGCC